AAUUCAGAACUUUAGAGGAAUUGCCAGCAUACUUAGAUGGCUAGUGUGUAUUAAUUCUCCAAUGAAAUUUGUUGUGUUUUGUGGUGGAAAAUCUUAACCUAGAGUAUCGAUUAAUGAGUUAUAAAAGGAGAUUUUACGAAUUAAUAUUGGGAAUGAAUAAAUAAAUCGAUAAUAGAUAAAUCCAACAGACAGGUUUAUCUAAAACAUCGUGAAAGUCUUCAAAGUUAUGUUUAAAAUGAUAAAAAUUAGACAGUAUGUAUGUAGUACCAGUUUUUCUGGUACGACAAACAUAUUUUAUAAUUCGAUAAAGGUGUUUUUCUUAAUGAUUAAUUUAUUUAUAAUGGCUUGAAUAAAAUAAUAGUGGCUUAUUAGUAUAUAAAAGCGAAGUGGCACGAGUAGCGAGAGGGCCGCGCGAGGAGCAACGAUAUGGCGCCUCUUUCCGAAAGACGUAAAUAAGUUCAACGACCCCGACCUUGACGGCGGCGCCGACGCAAAUAUCAUUGUUUCAUUUAUUUAAUAAUAAUAAUUACGCAACUAUAUCUGCGAUAAAAUUUCAGGCACGUGUUCCUAUAUGUUUACUGCGUGUCAGAUUUACCUUAUCGAUAUUAAAAUUAAUAUUGGCCUUGUACAUGUACUCUAGGAGAUACGGCUAUUCAAAACGACAUUCGUCGACGUCGAAACACUUAUGGCUCGAUACGUUAGUGUAGAUUAGGGCUUAGUCUUAGGGCAUGUUAAAUCCGACGGCCUUUGGAUUUGCCGUCGAAGUUUCGCUGGGUCAUCGCCACACCUCACCUUCCGGUUAACACAGGUAUUCAUAGGUCACGGUUGCUUCGGCGAUUACAGAAAGCCUUCGUCGAUACCAUGAACAUUGCAGGGCACAGGUUCGUAGCUGUGAGAAAAAACAGCUGAAAAGCGUAAUAGAUGUUUUGUUGUUACACAGAUUUGUGAGACAGUUCAAGAAGACGAAAAACCGCUAUUACCACGUUGAAGGAAUUCCUACUCAUCGCUUCGUGUACCUCAUUGCCGAUGUUCGCAGAACGAAGAGACAAUAUACUAAAGCUAAAUCCGCAAACCAUUUCAAUUUGCAAAAUAACUGGUAACAGCGCCUAUUGUGGGCAAGUGUGAUUUGUUUGUC